rnacentral:lncRNA from 1 species
UUCUAUAGUGUGCAUAUACAAUAACAAUGAGUAAAAGAGAGCAUGGAUUCUAUUUUACAAUUUGGAUUUUUAUAAACGUUGGGUUUGUUUACCAAGUCAUUCAUGGAAGGCGUUGCAAAACACCCGCUGGGUAUGUUAGUUCUAUUACUUAUAUUUUCCCCUAAAUUAUCGAAAUUCAAAUGCAAACUUCAUGAGUAAUCACUGAAUUGCAUUAAUGUUGUUGCUUUUUUUAAUAUUAUCAACAUUAUUCUUUUUUUAAUCUAUUUAAAUGUUUUGCUAAAUUAUUCAAGUCUUUGUUUUAUCUUUUGAUUUUUAUUAAUUCUAGUUCUUGUUACUUUUUAUUUGUUAAUGUAGUUAUAAAAUCCAAAUUAAAUUAAAAAUUAUCCUUGUGUUUAUUAGGAAGAACAACACUUCAUAGUUUUAUUGUCAUUAUGGCGCAUUUGUUGACUGAUCAAAUGUGUCUGGGUCUCAAUUCAUUAACGGAAUGUUUUAUAAGAACCAUUUACUACUGACAUUUGUUUAGUUCCUGUACCAAUUGAAGAAUAUGACAGUUAUUUCGAUGUGAUUGAUGUAUUUGAGCUUUUGAUUUUCCACUUGAUAAGGACUUUCCAUUUUGAACUUUAUUCUUUUUAAAUCUUCAGACAGCAUCAUGUAUGUCUGAUCUGUAAGUUCCAAAUUGUCUUAUAUUCGUGAUUGUAUCACUUGAUUAGGUGUGAUUCGCAUAGGGUGACAUACAUUGUAGAAGACCAUGUCGAUUUAUCCUGUCUCGCUACCUUAAUUUGUAUGCUCUUUUUAAAGGAUUUUGACAUUUCAAUAUCGGUGAACAAAUUUUGCCUCUAAUCAAUAAACAAUAAAAUUGUAUUUUGCGUUACUUAACGAAAAUAACACCUCAUAAAUUUAAAAAGUAUGAAGACUAACCAACUUCACCAGGAACGCUGAAAGACACAUAUUUAUACAAUUAUAGUUAAGGAUGUAUCAAAUAUGUAAAGGAAUCGAAUCGCGCGAAGAGCUGUACUGAAAUAAUUUUCCGUAAGUACAACUCUUAUUUCAAAUCACAAUCUGUAAAAACUUAAAAGUAAGCAAUUAUAGUUCAAAAUACAGCCUUCAACGCGGAGCCUCGACUCAGCUAUAAAGGGCAUUAAAAUGACAAGUCCCUGCAUUGAAGACUCAUUGGUGGCCUUCGACAGUUGUCUGCAAUUUGGUCGGGUUGUUGUCUCUUUGACAUCAUCCCCAUUUCCAUUCUCAUUUGUAUAGUGUAAAACACUUUAAACAGGAAAACCAACGGUAUAUAAACUGUAUUAAAUCGAAGAACAAGAAACAUUCAUGGACCACAUUAACAAACGACAUCCACUGAACAACUGGUUCCUGACUAAGUACAGGUGCAAAAAAAAAAGGCAGCGGAUCAUUUUAAAUGUUAACAGGCACAAACCUCCCCCUAACCUGAAUCAGUAAUGUAACAUUACAACACAGAAAGACACACUAUAGAAUAUAAAUUGAAAUGGCCUAACUCGUUAAAAAAAGACAUAUGAACAAGACGUAUACGCUGAAACGAAUAAAGGAGUAAGUUCGGUAAGGGCCAUAUUCGGCUCAGAUUAUAAAGUUUGAUUUAACAAAAUGGAAAAUGUUUAAGUUAAGGUAGCACAAUACAAAGAUUUGUUCACUCCCAAUCAGACAAGUUUAAACUGAUGUAAUUCAUUUAAUCCUUCUUUAUAUAUUAAUAAUGAGGUACCAAAAGAAAGAAGAAAGAUUCAUCUUUCAAAUUGUGAUAAUAUCAUUAUGACAUAAUUAUCACAUAAUUAAUUAUUAUGUAAUAAGUUGCUAUAUUGUGAUGUCCACACUUGAAUGAAUUUAGCGUCUUUGUUUUUCAUAGCAUCCCAAAAUAUUUAAUAGAUUCUUGUACAACACAGCUUGACCUCCAAAACUGUGUCUCAGAUUUCCAAAAAUAUCAAUAGAACAAAUUUUAUACCCAAUUGAAUUUAGUGGUCUCUUAAAGAAUUAUUGUUGCAAAUUUCAUUGUAGAUUUAUGAAAGAAUAAAAUACAAUAGGAAAAAUCUGAGACACAGUUUUGGAGGUCAAACUGUGUUGUGCAAGAAUCUAUAAAAUAUUUUGGGAUACUAUAAAUAACAAAGAAGCUAAAUUCAUUCAAGUAUGGACAUCACAAUAUGGCAACUAAUUACAUAACAAUUAAUUAUGUAAUAAUUAUGUCACAAUGAAAUUAUCACAAUUUGGAAGAUUAAUCCUUCUUCUUUCUUGUGGUACCUCAUUUAUAAAAUUUACAGAAAGAUGAGUGGAAUAACAUCAGUUUAAAGAUGUCUGGUUGGGGAUGAAAAAUCUUUGUAUUGUGCUACCUUAACUUAAAGACAUGUGAGAAAGUUAAAUAGAACUAUUUUUGUCAAAAUGUUAUGCAAAAGCGUUUAUUUUUCCAUCUGAAAUAGGUCAAAUUAAGGGAUUUUCGCAAAACUUUACAAAAUCGGCCGAAUUUCAACCAAAUUUAGGACCAGGAAACAUGACGCGCAGGCGUCAACAAACUAAAUAGAAUGAAAUUCAAAAUAGUGUGGCUGUGGCUAUUGAUUGACACAUUAAAUUCAUCCAUUGACUAGGACAAUUUAGGUGAACGUUGUAAUGUAACGACCACUGCUCACUAUGCACUUUUAAAAGACUCUUAAACUAUGGAGUCACCAAAGGUUCUCAACACCUAAAUAAAGUAAGUCGAAAAAUUAAUCAGAAACAACACGAUGUUUUGAUUUAUAUCAAUUAAAUAAAUCAAAACAUAAUUAAAAGAUUAUUCCUGAUUACUUUUUCGAAUUAUUUUAUAAUUAAAGGCGUUAAGAAACCUUUAGUGACCCCACAGUUUAAAUGUCUAUCGUAGGUACGUCGUGAACAGUGGUCGUUACAGACAAAGACAAGACAAGACAAUAUUUUAUUUGAGUCUCACCUCUUCUAAAACAUUUACAUAAUAUUACAAUUUAAAUAUUACAAUAUAAAACAAUAGCCACUCUAAAAAGAGUUAUGAGAGACAAACGUUCACACGUAAUUUGUCCCAGUCAAUGGAUGAAUUUAAUCUGUCAAUCAAUAGCCACAGCCACACUGUUUUGAAUUUCAUUCUAUGCAAGUUAGACAUGUAAAUUGUAUUUACAACCAUUAUUUUAAAAGUUCUUUGUUGUCGACGUAUGCGCUCUAUGUUUCCUGUCCAAUAAUCUAUGGAAAUGUACCCAUUUUCAUUUACUGACUUUUUCGUGGAAAAGCAAAAUAAGUACUAUUUGUGACGUCAUAAAUAAAAGCAGGAACAAAUUGGCUUAUUUUCUAUCUAUCCACUGUGUAAGCUAUCAUGAUUCAUUGUGAUAUUGGUCAAUAAAUGAUAAUUUGAAAUUUAAGCUAAAAAAAAAGGGGGACAUUCGAGGACCUUAACGGAACCUACUGCUUUAACCUAUGACACAAUAGCAAUACAAUAAUGAAAAAACACGUUUUAGAGAAUAAAAUAAACUAAGUUCAUCCUAGGGAUUUGGUGUUAUAAUGUCAUGGACAGUCAAAUAAGACAUGACUUGUGCAAUGCCAAAAUAAAAAUAACAGCAGACAGGAUGAUAGUUGAGGACGUCGCGUACGGUGUUGGUGAUAAUAUGGGUUUUGCUUUCUAGUUGGCCUUUAUUGCAUUUGUUAGAAGUUUCGGAAUUGAUAACUAUUUAAAUGUAUAUAUCAAAACGUGCGUAAUUAAAAGCUGAAAUGGGAUAUGCCUUAAAAUCAAUACUUUUAUUCAUUUUGUUACUCGAAUGAUCCCUAAUAACACUAGUUUUGAGCGUGUAGACAAGUAACACCGCGACAAUUGAUCAGCGUUGCUUUGAAGUUAUUCUUGUCAUUUUUAAAACUUAUUUAAAAAAAGUUAAACGCCUAGCAAGAGCAGUCUUUGGUGUUAAUGGUGUAUGUUUUAUUUAUGACGUCGUCGUUAACUGGACGCGUCUGGCCAGGACGAAAAGUCCACUUUGUUUUGUGGUCAAGCCGAAAAAAGUAAAAAAUAUGGAUAGGGGAGAAAGAAAGAGUGAUUUUAAAAAGUAUAAUUCAAAUAGAAGAUUCCGAAAAUGUUGUAUCAUUUCAUUCCGUAUAUGACAAGGAAAAAAAAGUUUUGUUACAACAUUUCAAAAGAUCGUGGCAGAAUUAAUGAUUUUUUUUAUUAAAAUUUGUAUUUCUAUCACAAAACCCACAUCUCGCAUAUGUUAUUUAUGAGUUUGACUGUCCCUUUGGUAUCUUUCGUCCCUGUUUUUUAAGGAGUUCUUUAAAAUUCGCACGAAUACUGCAGACCCAAAUCACAAUUUACAUAUCCACCCUUCCUGUGUCAAAAUUAUACAAUAUAUAUAUAACUGUCUAUGUCUUCAAUUAGUAAGUAUUGUUUAAAUUAUGUCCUAAAUUGUUCAUUUAAUUAAAUCCGUUGGAAUGUCACACUCGCCGCUUUCUGACGUUUUGACGUAAUUGACAUAGGCACCAGGAAUUAACCUUAUAUUAAAUAUGUAUUAUGUUGUUUUUGUUUUUUUUUAAUUAUUGAUAAAGCAAUCUCUAUAAAGAAAAUAAACAUGGAUGUGUAUUUAAACAUCCCCAAUAAAAUAAAAUAAAAAUACAAAUUUAGUUAUGUUUGAACUUGUUGAUGACAAAAUCGACAUGUGUAACACUAUUCAAAGUUUACUAAUAAGUUUGUUAAAAGGUUUGGUGAGUGUACACGUGUAAUUUGCACUUUAAGUACAAUGUUACCGCCAAAUUUAGGAUGUGAAGUAUCAUUUUUUAAGGUACAACUAUGUAUACUUAUCAAAUCUUUUUAUAUGACCAGAAGUGACCUGAAAAGAAUUGACAAUUUCAUAUAAUGUCAACUCUGUCAAAGGAAGUCAAAUCAAAUCAAAUCAAUGUAUCGAGUCAAACUAUGCAAACUUCAGUCCAAAUAAAAUUCAAAUCAAAUUUGCUAAAUUUUUAUUGGGUGUAAAUAAAGGUGCUGUUAAUAAUGCUGUACUUUCUGAAUUAGGUCUAUUCCCACUUUCAUUGUCAGCUCUUAAAAAUACAAUUAUUUUCUGGCUUCAUAUCAUUAAUAUGGACAGUGAGAGUAUGGUAAAGAAAGCAUACAGUGAAAACUUAAACUUUCCUAAUGGUUUUUGUAGUUAAUUAAAAGUGUUAUUAAGUAAACUUGGUUUUCAGCAUGUCUGGGAAAAUCAAAAUACUAUGUCAAAGAAAAAAUUACUUUUUUCAUUUCAAAAGAAAUUAGAAGAGGAAUUCAUAAAAAUACUCGAAACAAGCUCUUUUUUGUGACUCUAAUAAUGGUAAUAGUCAUGGUAAUAAACUAAGAACAUAUCGCAAAGUUAAAAAUAAUUUUGAAUUAGAAAAAAUAUCUUCUACUGGACCUUAACAAAAGUGUUAUUUCUAAAAUGGUAAAAAUCAGAAUUAGUAAUAAUAAAUUACUCAUAGAAGUUGGUAGAUAUACUAGAACACCUUUAGAACAGAGAAUUUGUCCAAUUUGUAAGGAUGGAAUUGAAGAUGAGUUCCAUUUUCUCAUUCAAUGUAAAGCGUUAGAACUUAAUAGAAAUGUACUCUUUUGUAAUGUAAGUGAUAUAGUUCCAUCUUUUACUAAUAUGUGUGAACAAGAUAAGUUUAGUUUCAUUUUGAAAAGUAAUGAUAUGGACAUUAGUGCUGUAAGUGUAGCUGGAAUAAGCGAUAUGUAUGAUUUGAACAUUCAUUUAAAACAAACAUAAUGUUGUUAAGAGCUUUUAUAGUAUUAAAGCUAAUUGUAAUGGCUUCAAUUAAUAAUAUUGUAUGGAUAACACCUCCACGCAAUAUGAAUAUACAAUAUGUAUCUCUUAUCAUUGAGAAAAUAUGUUGGGUUUUUUUUUUUUUUUUUUUUUUUUGUUGAUUUUUGUAUUUGUAUUUUGUAAAUGUCGGCUGGUAUCAUUUCUGUAUAGGAAUUUACACCAAUAAAAUUAUUUGAUUUGAUUUGAUUUGAUUUGUAUAAGACCACACCAAUUUAAUUCCUUUUUCGACGGACACGCCCGCACCUAUUUCUUUCAAAACAGAUUUUUUUUAUUUUUAUUAUAUUUCCGCUUCCCGCAUCCGGAAAAGUAAUCAUGUCCAUUUCCCGCACCGUUUUUUUUUUGCUGUAAAUAUUAUAAAAAAAGAUUUCAACAUUUGUUUUUAAAAUCACAGUCUAACUUUAUAUAACGAUUUUAAACCAUAUAAGCAACCCACAACACUGUAACUAUCUGUGAGAAUAUUUGUUUCAGCAUGAAACCAAUUUAUUCCAAGAGGGAGUGCUCCGAUAUAAAUAUAUAACAGCGGAAAUACCUGUACAGAACAAAACAUUGGUUUCUUUCCCCCUGACUUAUAUUCCCAAUCAAAAAAUGUUCGUUGUUAAAAUAAAGUACAAAAAACUUCUGAAAGAUUUGCCUUCAACUGCAAUUAUAAUGUAUGCUGACAGUUAUACCCGCUGCAAGUUUUUUGCACCUGUCCUGAUUGAUUCAGGGACCUGUCGUUCAGCAGCUAUCGUUUGUUGAUGUGGUUCAUUGGUAUUUUCCUAGUCCAAAUAAUUAUGACGUCUGGCAAGGCUUUUUUUUCUGGGACGCCUUCCUGCCUUGCCAGACGUCAUAAUUAUUUGGACUAGUAUUUUCCCGUUUGGAAAUUUAAAUUAGAUCGUUGGUUUUCCUGUUUGAAUUGUGUACAAUACUAAGUUGUGGUCCCUUAUAUCUUGCUGUUUGGUCUGGAUUAAAGCUCUGUGUAAAAGCCGUACUUUGACCUAUGAUUGUUAUUAUCAGGUUGGGAACAACCCUCCCUCAGACAAGGGCCUUGAAGGGGUCAUUUUACCAUGCUUACUGUUGUACAAAAGAAAAUAGAAAUACUAAGGAUUUGUAUAGUGCUACUAUACAAAACCUUUGAAAACUUAGAUUUUUUUUACUCAAAAAGAGGAGAAAUGCAUAAUAUUUUAAACAACUUUUUUAAAAGAUGGGUCCACUUAUUUUGAAUAAUAUUAAACUGUUAAAGUAAACGAUUAGCAUGGUUAAAGUCCAGCAAUUUUACAAAAUUCUUGGACAUGUUUUGACCAUUUAAUACCAUCUAUAAUACUACAUUCUUCAAUGCAGGUGUAUUCAGGAUUAAUAUGCUAUAUACAGGGGUCAUAAUCACAGGGUUGUUACUACUAAAUUGUCAAAUUUUAAUCAGUAAGACCUUUUAAGAUAACAAUAGGAAUACUAAAAAUCUGGACUAAAAAUAAGGCGUAUAAGGUACAGUUUUCAAUUUGUUAGCCAGCAUGACGUAAAACAGCAAAUCAAAGAAUUCAACUUUAUUUAGAACUAAUAUAGGUUAACACAUGACAUGGGCAAAAUCUCUUUGUUCUUACUGUACUAUAAUCUGGAUAAUGCACAGCAGAGGUGUGCAUUAACUACCUCAGAUAUACUGCACAGUUCAAAUCUAUUUUUACCUUUAGGGGCGGUUCCUAGAUGUUCACAGGGGCGUUAUUCUAUCAAAUUAAAAAAAUAUAUCACCGAGUGUAGCGAGACUAAAACAAUAUUGACGAUUUUAAGGCAAAACACGAUACUUUGUCCAAUCCCAGGGUGAACGAUAUGUUCGUCCCCACUCCCGAAUCCGACUUCUGCCUUGAAAUUGCGACAAAAUUAAACUUCGUACAAACAUCGUAUUUUCAAAAUAGGAAAAAAGAAAGGUUUCUCAUUCCUUUUUUUUUCAUCUGAGCUUGAACAUAAAAAUUUUAUUAUAUUUUGCGUACAACAUAAAUCUUAAAUCAGUGUUUUAAAGUCAAAAAGAGAGUUAAAACAAUGUUUGGUAAUUUCCGCCAAAAAAGAAAUGUAUCUAAGAAUAUCCGAAUAAAAGAAAUCUGAUUUGGAUUAGUUUUAGACUCAAUGGAAUUUAAUCUAACGACUUUUUCAAUAUCUAUUCCUAGCUGGAGAUCAAUCAGACUUCAUUAAGAUGGACGUGUCUUAAAAAUUAAUACAGUAGAUACAAAGAAAUUUGGGGGAGGGGGAGGGGGAGGAAAAGAUUGGAAAGAGAAACGUAUUUUUUGUUUAUUCAACAUUUAAAAUUUAGGUAAUAUAACAUCUUCCUCGGUUUAUCUUUCUCUAUUAAAGCACAUCAUUGAUGGAAAGAUAUUCAAAAGCAAUUAAUCUAAACUCAAUAACCCUUUCAGUUAUGAUUUUUUUUCAUACAACGAUUUGAAGGUACUCAAAUUGUCAAAGUCUUAAUCGUCACUUAUUAAAUAAAAAAAAAUGGGAAUAGAUUAAACAGAAACAAUAAGAAAAAAUAUACCAUUAAAUCGCAAUUUUACAAAAAGUCUAAACCCCCAAAAAGUUGUCAAUUUAAAACUCACCAAUGAAAGUCGUAUUUCCCCCUUUCUUAGGAUCCGUGGAUUGCGGAAAAUCGUCCACAUCUAAAACGUUCACGUAAAUUAAUGACGUCAUGUGUUGAAACAGUUAUUGGCCAAUCAAAUCGGUAUAUAGAAUUUAAUCUGCACGCGCUCAGGAUGACCCUUUAACCCUAACUCCUACGUCGUUCGGGUUAAUAAGGGUCACCUGAGCUGUGCAGAUUAAAUUCUAUAUACCGACUUGCUUGGUCAAUAACUAUAACAUAAUGCUGUUGAUUAAAACAUACUCCAUUCCAGGACCUUUCGUUUUUCAAAUAAUUAAUAUUACCAAUAAUUGAUAAGUUCCAGUUCGACUGGUUCAAACAGAAAGAUUUAAAAGCAGAGAAAACUGUGUAUCGUAAUAUAAUCGGCAUGACUUUAUCAGAUGACAAUACUAAUACUAAAAUAAGGCUUGCGCACAGUUAUAUACUUUAAUUCAGUCACGGACCCGCGAUACCACGGGUGUGUUCUAGUAUAGAUAAUAAAGGUCUUUGGGAAAAUAUUAGCCCUUUUGUACUCAAAGUGUUUUUACAAAAAAAAACUAUAACUUGUAUUGACCCCUCAUAAAUGGGAUAUUCAUAAUAAUUUUUAUUAAGGGUUUUUUCUGAACCUGGUUAUGACUUGGAUGGAGAAUUGUCUCAUUGUCAGUCACACAUACAUAGACCAGAUUUAAUUAUUCAAAUGUCAAGGUACAAGUGAUAAAUCAAGUUUUAAUAUAGUCAAUUGAAAACCUAUUAUUUUAUGUUUUUAAAAAAAAUAUAAUCGCUCGCCUCUACUUUUUAAGCUUCGCCUCAAAAAUUUGCAAAUUAAAAAUUUUUUUAUUAAAAUUUUCAAAUCGCUCGCUCGCCCCAAUUUUUGGAGUCCAAAAAUCAGUAGAACAAGAAAUUAAAUUGGUGUGGCCUAAGAACCGAAUCGCUAUGAAAUGCUAUACAAACCUGUCAACUGACCCGUAUUCUGCGGGUGUGAUCCAAGAUUUUCGCAAUUCUUUCAAAAUUUCAAGAUUUAAAAAAAAUUUAUUUGAACACUCAGACACAGAUACAUGUGUAACAUGAGGUCAUACAUAAUUGCAUUAAUAAAAUUUAAUAGAGAACAUGUUUUGGAAACUUUGAAUUAUAAGAAAAAUGUCCCCUUAAUACUGACAUUUAGCUCGAAAAACCUGACAUUUCAUUCUUCAAUGCAGGUCAUGACCUGCAUUUUCAUUUUCACAGGUUGACAGGUAUUGCUAUAUGACAAAGGAUUAGAAUAUUUCUACACUUUAAACAGAAAAAUUCUCAAAGUUUUAACAUUUUGAAUAUUUGAAAUUUGCUCAGACACCGUUUGUAUGAUACACGAGUAUAUGGAGAAGGUAACUAUAGAAACAUAUUUAAGAUUGCAAACAACAUGUAGACACACUUGAUUGUUCUUUCACGUGCAAUAAAUAAAUUUGGUGUAUUUACUGUCUUCUGAUUGGUUAAAAUUAUUAGUUUUAUUUUCAAUGUUGUCAAUUUUUAAGCCCACUCUGGUGUUGUGUAUUCAUACGCCAUUAUGUUUGUACGUUUUUAUUGUUAAUAUAAAUAAUAUAAAAAGUUCUUUGAGCUUUAUUUUUGAUAGAAAAUUAUUUACAAUGAAUGGCAAUAAUUUAUAUUGAAUUUAUUGAACCAUAAAAUAUUUUUUUGACUCUUCACAUUUUACAUAAUCCGCUGUAUCCGCUGGGCUUUAAAGCAAUAUCUAAUCUUAUUUAAGAACAGCUAUUUAUAACACGAUCUUGUGAGAAACUUUAUGUAUUGGUCAGAUGUAUUGGAGGAGCAGCUUGAUGUAACAGUUAUAGAGUGAGAAUGAAGUAAACAGUUAAAUUGGAAAUUAUGCCGUUGUGAACCUAUAUAUUUUCAUCAUACAUGUACUGCUAUAUGAAUAUCUAUACGAAUAAACAUGUGAACAUUAAACGGACUUCGUUACUAGUAUAUAGACAGUGGUACGCUUAUGGUGGAAUACAUGCAAUAGCUAGUUCCCUAAAGUAACGGGCAAGAUUGAUAAGAUCCAAGAUACCUAGAUCAGAAACAAUAAGUAGACACAAAGCAUCAGACAGAAUAAAGCCCUGUUAUACUAGAAGAAAAAAUUAACAGCAGUAUGUUUCAGAAUAUUUUAUAUUAUAUAUCUUUCAGAUGAAAAGUCAAUGUUCACGUAUGAUAUUGUAAAACUUGGCUAUUCAAGUACAUAAGUAUAUAAAAUAUUUUAAAACUUGGCUAUUCAAGUACAUAAGUAUAUAAAAUAUUUUAAAACUUUUUUGUAUUUAUCUUUAUGAAGUAUCAAAUGCUUUAAGCACGUUCUGUACUUCUUUUACACAGAUGACUGUCAUUAGGUUUUUGUGUUUUAUAUAAUGUAUCAAAUUAGGUUUAAGAUUUCUUGAAAAUAUGUAACAAUUGUAUUCCCAAAACCUAAUUUUAUACAGUUAUGACCGGACGAGAAGCAUGCUAAUUAUUUGGACUAUCAUCUUUCUGACUUUAAUUACUAUAUCUUUUAAUUGUCAUUAUUAGCUCAAAUAUUCCUACACAAUUAUCUUUUGGUUUAAACUGUAUGUUUCUGCUAAUCCGAUAAUGGACUUCGAAUCUACGUGUCAAAGACAGUUUUAGCAGAUUAUCUGAACAAUGGACAAUAAUUGCUUAAUCCCUUAUUACAUGUAUUUCUUUGUCAUUCUGUUUUAUAUACUUCUUAGAAAUAAUUUAUAUUCAGUUUUGGAUUAGGUUCUUAAACCGUAAACACCGGACUCAAUAUGUGACAUCGUUUAUAUUCUUGUUGGAUCGUUUAUUAAAUUGUUAAACUUUAUGCCGACUUGAAUCUUCAUUUUAAUACCCAGCAAAUAGUCUGGCUAUACAGUAUAGACUUUUUUUGUGAUACUGACUUUUGAAUUAUAUUUUUUUUAAAGAGCUGCAGUUCAUGGACGUUUUUGUUGCAAGUGAUAAACAGCUUUACACCAUGUCAGACAUAUUCAGAUUACAAAUAAAGUUAAAACUACGACGUCUUAAAUCAUAUUUGUGCUGUACAUUUCUGAUACACAAACUUUUUUUAUAUUGUUUAUGUUUUAUACAGAAAAGUCUGCUGUGCCCAUUUCUACGAAAAUGCUGAAAAAGAAUGCAUAGGUAAAACAUAUAUAAUAUAUAUAGGAAGAUGUGGUGUGAGUGCCAAUGAGACAACCAAAUAAUAAUUUAGAAAAAAGUACACCAUUAUAGGUCAAUGUACAUAAUAAUUUCAUUUAUCCAUCAGCAUUGGAUCAAAUUCGAUAUUAAAUGGCAUAUGAAUGAAACAGUGAUUUGGAACAGCUACAUCAUACAAAUCUACUUAUGUUUGCAUUUAUUUACCAACAAGCUUUUUUGGCCAAAUUUGAAAAUGACAUUUUUAUUACAAAUAAGUAAUUUGUCUGAGUUCUUCAUUGUCGACUUAUUAUGCAAAACUCUCAAUGAAUAUCUGCGACUUAAAUUACGUGUCGCCCACCUCCCAACAUUCGUCCAAAUAUUAGGGGAAGAAAGAAACAUCGACAUGUAUUUACAAAAUCUGAAGUAAACAUUAAAGCCAAAGCAUUCCCGUAAAAUUAUGCUUAUAUUUUGUUUUGAUGACGCAUUAAAGGCCGGUACACACGAUUUGCUCUUGUAAAUACGCAAAGAUUAAACGUAUACACAUAAUAAUACAUAGUAAUGAGUAUACAUAUUAGUGACCUAGCCACUUAACAGUCCGAGGUAAAUUAUUGGUGUAAACGACAUCUUCGGAUGAUCCAAUCAAUAUUUUAUAUAACUUCAUGUGUUCAAAGUACAGUCGACAUUUUCUUUUAGCUAUUCCUUUUCUCAAAAACAUAUUACAGACAAAUCUGAGGUACAGAAUGUUAAAUUCGUUGUAAUGGCAAAAAUGUCAUAAACAAUGUUCAUUGACCUCGAAUUACUAGUAUGGUAAACCUUAAAAGUUUUCUUAGUGUGAAGGUACUAGCGUAUUUAAUGCUACAGUUCUAGGUUCCAAUCGGCGUUACUAAAUAGAACUUUGUGGUGACAGAAGAUUUUAAAUCAUCUUUUCAAAAAAUACAGUCAGAUUCAUUUAAAAAGCAGUCUAUUCAAAUGUAACACUUAAUUAUUUUUUUUAACGAAAAUGGUUCAAAGAAUAAACAGAAUUUUCAAUAAAUCUCAAGUGUUUCGUUCGUCCCCGAAAAAGGAAGAAUAAAACAAAAAUAUUUAAAAAAAAAGUAUACGCAACACUUUUAUUUUGGUUUUAUUCUUAGUGCUGGAUAUAGAAACCAUCAAAAACGUCAAUUGCUGCUUUAUUUUAUCAUUCUUUUUCCGAAUGCGCUGUACACUGUUAAAUGUUGUUAUUGUGAGAGUGGCAAUAAUAGGGCUUAUAUUUAAGAAUGUUUCGUAAAAUCUUCUUUUAUUGAAUUUAAGGAUGUGACAUUGGAUAUACUUCCGAAAAUGGUACAACGUGUUUCAAAUGUCCACAGAAGUUUUAUGGAAAGCACUGUGCUUUCAAAUGUAGUUGUGAUGAUGAUCAAAGGUG